CCUCUGCUGCACAGAGGGCUUGCCUCUUUGUGGUUGUUCCCUCCAUGAAGAGACAGUAGUGGUGAGAUGCAGGAGUCCCUGGGCUUGGAGAUAAAGGCAGGGCCCCUUGGUGGGUGGCCCAGGUCGAAGAGUGGCAGUCAGCUUAUGGGGCCGGGUAACGUUCUGGUAACACCCAUAGUGCCCGCUUCCUGGCCUGAAGCGCUCUCCUCCUUCCCCCGACCGGAACCGAAGAGUGGUUGCAACGAGGUACUGAGGUCAGGACUGACAGGGGCCUAUGCUGUUUGUGGCACGCAGCCUUUUUCCAGGCGCCGCCCCUGCCACCGUCUCCACCUUGUACCUGUGCGGCAGCAGCUGGACAGCGCCAGCAUCGCGGCUCCCCAGCUGGGCAGACGAAAGCGCAUGCGCAGGCGGCCUGUCACAAGCGCCAGCGCUGAGCCUGGACUCGCGUCACAGUAACAGCCACCAGUUGCCUGGGGAACGAUCACAGUGGCUUCCCAAAGCAGCGGUCCUCUGUGGCAGUGCCUCAGCAUCGGGCAACGGACUCUUUCUCCGCGCGAUCAUCGCUGAGUCCUGCGAUUUUAGGAAUCCGGCAGGCCGAGCCAGGCAGAAGAAAGAUCUGUCGGGGCUUCAGGGAUGUCCACGGCGCUCCCCAGGAAUCACCAAGUUGCUGCAGACCUGCCCAAACAGUGUGAGGGUGCCUCUCGUUGAAAGCCCUCGUGGCUGGGAUUUCCAGGAGUGACCAACCUCAGUAUAAGCACGUGAUUAUUGCACCUGCAGGUGGCAGCCAGACCCCACUACACUGAGGCUUUGAACACCACCAGGAAAAAGAAGAAUGCAGGGCGCCGCAGCCCCAAACUGAGCCAAACGUUGAUCAGCAGCAGAAAGUAAGUGGAUUACAGAGAAACCGUGCUGGAGUGCACUGGCCACACUCGUGUCAGCAUGUCCCACACAGACACACACACACUCCUCAACACACUCAGAAAGAUACAUGCAUACACACACUCACACACACUCAGGAAUACACAGGGAGGCAUUCAACACUCGCAUGGAAACCCACACUGCCAGGUAGCUCCUGAGGCUGCGGGGUUCUGCUCUCUUUCUGGAAAUCCCUUGGGGACAGAGCAGCCCAGCCACAGGCCGGCAGUGGGUACCUGAAACUAAUUCACUGGAUUAUCCCAGCCUGGAAAUCCCAGUCAGGAGGGCUUUCAAUGAGAGGCACCUUCCCACUGUUUGGGCAGGCCUGAAGCCUCUUAGUGAUUCUUGGGGAGCGCCGUGGACAUCCCUGAAAUCCCAACAGAUCUUUCUUCUGCCUGGUUUGACCUGCCGGAUUCCUAAAAUCGCAAGAUGGUCACACGAAGAAAGGGUGCAUUGCCCAAUGCUGAGGCACUGCCACGGAGGGCCCCUGCUUUGCUAAGUCACUGAGAUCAUUUUCCAGGCAACGGUGGCUGUCACUGUGAUGGGAGCUAUGUCUCAACGCUGUGGCUUUUGACAGGCUGUUUGCGCAGGUGCUUUUGCGUGCCCAGCUGUGGAGCCACAAUGUUGGCACUGUCCAGCGGAUGCUGCCCAUAUGCACAAAGGAGUCGGUUCCAAGGGCAGCCCCCGAAAAGUCUGCAUGCCAUCACACCAGAGACACAGAACUUGGAAUUGAGAUUUUCUCCUGUGCUCCUUGCAUCUCCUGAAAAAACCAAUAAUGAUCCUUCCUGCGGCUUCAACAUCCACAUCUGUGAGAAAGCCGCUGGCGAGUGUGAUAUUUUCAAGAAGCCACAGUCCAUGUUACCCCCUACAGAGCUCUGAACUUGCGCACUGGUGGGCCUGGCAGCGGUUUUCUCCCCAAAGUGUCUGAACUGCUCUCAUGCUGGAGGGAAAAGAGGGGAGCAGCACAAUGGACAGCGUCUGGAUCUCAGGCCACUUUUCACAGCAACUUAGGAAAUCAGGCUGCUGCCUGGGCUGGAGAAGCCACGAUGCCCAGUAAAGACCCUGCAAGCAUUUGGAGGAGGAAACCCAGCUGAUCAGUGAGAUGUUGUGUGAGGACCACACACGUCCCAGUAGGACACGAGAAAGGUGCGCUUCACAGCGCUUUGCCCUGAUCACUGCCCAACCUGGACCUUCUUCUUCUGUCCCUCUUUCGACGCAAUUCCCAUGGCAAGGAAGUGCAGGCAAUCAGUAGCCAACAUCGCUAUGGAAGCGGCGAGGUCCACACUGCCCUGGCAACCCCUUCUGUGUUAACCACCUCCUUGCAUUUCAUCUGCUGGGAUUCUAGUUUAGCCGUCUUGCCACCAACGGGCGGGGAAAUUUUCAGAGGUACAGUUUCCAGCCCUGGGGAAAAAAUGAGCCUCUCAGCUCUUUCUCAAGAACUGCACCCAGUCCCCGACCCCAUGACAUGCCGGGAUUGUAGUUUUGAAGUGCUUUUAAACAACUGUGGGAGCAGUGAAGAGAUCACAAGUCCCAGAAUGCACAAUCACAGAUGACAACUCCCAGUAUAACAGGUGUAGCUACCCCUCUCCGAUCCAGGCCUUCCCUCGUCCAGAGCAGUUCUGCCAUGCCAAAGGUCCCUGACCAUUCCCAAACCAAUCCUGCCUCUCACAGAGGGACAGGACUGCUGGUAAUACCUUGUAAUUAUGCCAUAACUCUCCCUAAAAAGCUGGCUUUAUGCUCAGUCAGUGCCAGCAGUUUGAUUUAUCACUGAGCAGCAGGGGACCUGGAGCUGCUCACAAACCUGUCAGUUGCCAUAGUAAUGAUCCUCCCUCUGUAACUGAACUCUCUCCGUCCCCUUCCUUCACCCCAUCCCUUCUCUUCCUUCUCUCCUUCCCUCUGCCCCACCUCAUCCCCUUGGCCCUGCCUCUUCCCUUCCCUCAGCCUUUCCUCUCCCCUCGGCACUGACCUUUCUCUCUCCGUCCCUAAAACUCUUUUUUGGACAUGCGCAAUGUAGUCCCUGUGUAGAAAUGUGGCUACUGGCCAAGUGUCUGACAGUUCUUGGACUUCUUCAGAUCCCACGCGGGCAGCUCCAUCGUGAAUGUCUGAAACCAUCAGGUCAUUGACAGAAAUGAAUAUACAUUGUCCCUGAACCUGGCACUUGCUUUUUCAAAGCAAACAUUUCCUCUAUUAUCUAGGCUGUCACAAAUCCUCCUACGGACCCCAAGAGCACCCUUUGGACCUCGAGACUUCAUCAUGGCCCACUACUGGGUUAGGCCUUGAAAAGGGACGCUCCUGACACUCUAAUAAAAUGUAGAAAACGUCACAGUGAAAAGCUGGCCCUGCUGCAUCCGUUUUUCAGAUUAACUGGAAGUACCAAAAGACUAUGUGCUAAUGAAACUAGAAGAGGCACAGCCUCAGCUCCUUGCAGGACAGAUGCACAAGAGCAGAAUCUCCGUGGGAUGUCUUUCUGGAGCCUCAAUAUUACUGCAGAUUUGGAAGAAGCAAAUUUAAAUAAUUUCCAAUUUAAGACACUGGAAAUUUAAGAGAAAACUGGAAAGUUAUCUGCCUUUAAUAAUUGUCGGUCAUCUGUGCCUAAGUCAGACGUUCUCCAAGAAAAUAAAAGGAACUCUGAGGAGAAACUAUUUUUCAUUCUUCUAAGUAAUUAAUAUCAGAAAUCACAGAAAGUCGGUAGAAAGCCCUGCCAGUCUCCUAAGUUAAAGUAUGGCCUCGGAAUGAUUUUAUUUGUGUUUUUUGGAGGGGUUUCUUGACAUAUUGGGUAUAAAAACUGGGGGGAUUUGACAGAUUUUUGAAAUUUUUUAGCUACCUUUUGGUAAUGUACUUUGCACCUCAUUUAAUUUUUCUGUCCCCUCUUCAACUUGGACUCCGUCACUUCACAUAUCUCUAAGACUCUUCAUUUCCUUUAAGCUUUUUCACUCUUUUAUUCAGAAUGGACAAUUUCUAUUACUCUUCUGUUUCUAGUCUUUGAAUAAGCUGAAAAGUAUUUUUUAAAAUUUCUUAUCUUCUUCUUUCAUAAUUUCCCUUUUUUCUUGCUGAUGUUCCACAUCUCUUAAUCCAUUCUUAGACUAUUUUUCUUAACUCCCAUGAACAGAUUUAUAAUAGCUGUUUUUAAACCUCCUGAAUCACUCUUCAAAGGUACACAACAGAAUUGGGAGUCUCUAUAAUGAUUCCUUACAGUUUUAGCACACAACUUUACAAUUGAUACAACAUGUGAAGAAACACAAAAAUGUAAUGUAAUCCAUACACAAUUUAAAAAGCAGGCAGUAGAAGUGGCCCGUGAGUGGUCCCCAUUUCCACACCCUUCCAUGCUGCACUACUGCCAGGCCACUAGGGGUGAGGGAUGUGCACAGAAUAGCACUGGAACCUGAAUCGGGCACUGGGCUCUAACAAGGAGGUUAGGGAGUUGUGUCUCAGAAACCUUCUACACCAACGCUUUCUGACAACAGACAGACAAAUGGAGGUCCUGUAUAGAACAAAAAUGCUUGGACACAUAGGAGCUGCCUGAUGAGGGAGGGCCCCAAUUUUCCUCUCCCACCAAGGGCACCAGCAGAGGGAAAGGCUUUGUCCAGCUCAGCCUGCAGCUCAUGCAGUUUUGCAGUCAUGCAGCUCUACAGUUUCAGCACUCAGGGAGCACGGACUGGCAGCUGCUCUGAAGCCUCCACCACUCAGAAGUAAAAUGGGCCCAAUCCUCCAGCUCACAAGGCAGGGGGAGGACUGUGCCGCUCACACAGAAGGAGGCUUGCUGAGAUGGAAGGGCUGAAUCCAGGGCUCUCUCCUCCCAACACUCGGGAUCCUGGUCCUCGAUGUGCCUGCACCAGGCUUACCCCAUCCACAGUCCUUCAUUGCAGUGUCUAGCUUCACCAGGUCAGUGAGACACCUGCCCAAAGAGGGCCCAUCACCCUGGGCCAUUGUAGUGAUAGUGGUGGUGAGUCCCCACUGUCAGGUGCCCACUCAAGACCCGUCUCCUAAAAUCUCACCAACCCCUCCUGCCUAUAGACUUCCUCCCCAGUUCUCCUACUUGAAAGACCCCAGGACCCUCAGCUGCCUCCCCCAGUACUCUCCCUACUCUCCAUGUCUCCCCAUCUGGUCUCCAAGGCCAGUAGACAUCCCUAGUUACUUCCAUGGUGGGAUUUUAACAAGUUAUAAGGUCAUGGAGUCCCCUGUCCUACCGUUCCCCAAAUCUACCCUGAGCCCAGCUCACCCAGGUGGUUUCUCUGGUCUCUCUGACGGAGGCAUUUUAGGCUCUGUGACUACAUUAGGGAAGGGCUGGGGGAGGAAGACUCCCUGCUCACUUGAUGUGGAGGCCUCCAGCAGGGAGGGAAGAAGCCUGUUUUUGACUCCCUGGAGACCCUCCCCAACACACAUAUACUCACCUGCUGCUCCUACAGCCUUAUCUGGGUUGUCUGGGGAUUCUUCUCUAGCAUGGGCAAUUUGGAGGUUCCCACCUGCCAGGGUCUGGGACAAGGUGAGGGAGACUAUUUUUUCCUCCCUUCACUCAGUUAUACCUCAAAUCCUAGAUUACUGGCCUAAGCCAACUGUGGCAAUGCUCCCACCCCUCCAGUGAGCCCUGAUCCUAGAUUAACUCCCAGCUCCAACACGCACUGUCUGUGUCACCCUGGGCAGGUGGCUGGGCCCCCCUGAGACUGUUUCCUCAUCUGGGAGGUGUGAUGGAAACCACACCUUCCUCACAGGGCCUCCCGAAUACUCAGUUUCAUGUGGCUCUCAGCGUUUCUCUCACCAUCAUUGUUCGUGGAACGGGCCAGGUGCGAGCAACCUCAAAUUCUCUUCCUCCCUGAACCCCAUCAUCAUCUUGUGACAACUGCAAACCAGGCUCAUCAUUUGUACAUUUUCCAAAUGAGGAAAUAGAGGCCCAAAGAUGGCAGUGAGUUGCCCAGAGCCUCACAGGAGAAGAUGGCUUCUCCCACACUUCAAGGCCCGGUCCCAGCUGCCUUCACCCCACAUGCCGGCACCACCACUGUACAGGGUCCCAUUCUCUGGAGUCUAGGGGUGUCCACAUUCCCAUCCAGACCCAGCUAUGGUGGGAGAGGGAAAAGGUGUCUUGGGGGACCUGGUUGAGCAGCAACUAUUUGUCACAGAACCACUGGAAUCUCUGCUCCACAUGCCAGGCUUUAUGUUAGACCACAGACCUCACUUACCCCAUGAUGUACCAAGGGAGUUCCCUGCACAGAACCCUCUCUUUCUCCACUCAGAAGGUGUGGUCACCCAAGAUGCCAUUUCAGACUGACAAAACAGGGUUUUCCUAAGGUACUGGGUGGUGACAUGUCACUUCCUCAUUUCCAGGGAAGGUUCUGAAAUCAGGUCAGGAAGAAUCCACAGAGAAUUCAAAAGUCUCCAGGUACUUAUACCAUCUGGAGCUUUUAGUAGUACUCACUGGGCACUGGGGUGAGAAUCCCACAACUGUGACUGAUUAGCAGUGUCUGCAAAGGACAGAGUGGGGAGCCACAGCAAACAUAUAUAUAUCCACAUCAUAUUUACCAAUGGAGACUCACCUGGCAGAUAUUCCUCUGCUGUCCCCAUCAUUGGUACAGACAGAGUGACCCUCCCUGUAUAGGUGCAGUACAGGAAGAAGCAGUAACAGAGGCCUGGCUUCCUAUGAAAUUGCUGGGCAGGUCUGGGGAAAGAAGGAAGCCCCACCUACCACACCCACCUCACAGCCUGCAGGAAGUCCGUGCUAGCAGCAUGGAUCAAUGUGGGAAUCAGAGCACUGAUCUUUCUGCAUUUCAUCAUGCCUGCUCGACAGCCCAGCUGCCAUCAGCACAUCCAAUUACUGGGGUUGCCUGUCCCCAAACUUUCCACCUGCCCACAGGCAAACACUUGACUUUCACUUAAUCUACUCUAGACAGGGCUGGAGGUUUUCAAGUAAACGUUUAGUAAAAAAGACACAUACACACACACACGCACACACACAAGUGUGCACACCCUCACACCUGGCCCAGUACCCCUUCCAGCCUAAUCUAUUUCUCUACCCCUGAAAACCUCUGACACCCACCUCCCAUCUCUACGUUUUAUUGAUGUGCAAAUCCUACUCAGGGUACUGUCUUUUCUGAAAAUAUUUUAAAAUUUUCUGGAGCUUUUUCUGAGGAGAGGAAAAAGAAGGAAAGAUUCAAGAAACAAGAAGGUAAAAGAAAAAAUCAUUUGAGAAUAAUAAGCAGAUGUGUACAUUCAAUUUUCUUUUGAGAACCGAAGGGAUCAAACUGCCUGGAUGAGAACGUCUAUGCUGGUCCCCUAAACCCUUAGGGCUCCAUGGGUCUGGGAAAGGAGCUCUGUGGAGGCUAAAGCAACUUUGCGUUGGAUGCAAAUCCACCAUGUUUACUUCGGAGUAACCCCAAUUCUGGAAAUGCCUUUAAGAUUUCCACCUGUUCUGCUGUUUCUUGUGUAAGAGCACAUACCUACUGCUAAUCUUCUCCUUAGGUCAAAGCAACCUGGAUGUAUUAUGCAAAUUUCAGGCUACAAUGGGCACAUCCUUCUCUUCCUGGAAGGCUGACUUUAAUUGUCCUGCACAAUCUGAAUACAGCAUAUUUUCUCUUUUCCUAUACUACGUAAGCCCUAAAUCUUGGGGUAACUGCCUGGAGAACUACUUAAGUUGCUACAAUUCAAGAUCAUGCUUCUGUUCAUAAAUUCCCCACAAUAAAUUACCAUUUACUGAAAAA